rnacentral:rRNA from 1 species
UGGGUUGUAAACUGCUUUUUCGCAUGAAGAACAUCUCGGACGUGUCCGGGACUGACGGUAAUGCGUGAAUAAGCACCGGCUAACUCCGUGC